rnacentral:rRNA from 1 species
AUUGAACGCUGGCGGCAUGCCUUACACAUGCAAGUCGAACGGUAACAGGUCUUCGGAUGCUGACGAGUGGCGAACGGGUGAGUAAUACAUCGGAACGUGCCCGAGAGUGGGGGAUAACGAGGCGAAAACUUUGCUAAUACCGCAUACGAUCUCAGGAUGAAAGCAGGGGACCGCAAGGCCUUGUGCUCACGGAGCGGCCGAUGGCAGAUUAGGUAGUUGGUGGGAUAAAAGCUUACCAAGCCGACGAUCUGUAGCUGGUCUGAGAGGACGACCAGCCACACUGGGACUGAGACACGGCCCAGACUCCUACGGGAGGCAGCAGUGGGGAAUUUUGGACAAUGGGCGCAAGCCUGAUCCAGCCAUGCCGCGUGCAGGAUGAAGGCCUUCGGGUUGUAAACUGCUUUUGUACGGAACGAAAAGACUCUGGUUAAUACCUGGGGUCCAUGACGGUACCGUAAGAGUAAGCACCGGCUAACUACGUGCCAGCAGCCGCCGUAAGAC